UACGUAGGGCGCAAGCGUUGUCCGGAAUUAUUGGGCGUAAAGAGCUCGUAGGCGGUUUGUCGCGUCUGCUGUGAAAACCUAAGGCUCAACCUUGGGCUUGCAGUGGGUACGGGCAGACUAGAGUGCGGUAGGGGUGACUGGAAUUCCUGGUGUAGCGGUGGAAUGCGCAGAUAUCAGGAAGAACACCCGUGGCGAAGGCGGUUCUCUGGGACGGUACUGACGCUGAGACGCGAAAGCGUGGGGAGCGAACAGG
rnacentral:rRNA from 1 species